rnacentral:lncRNA from 1 species
UUCCAGAUCAUGCAAACUGCCAUCCUUUCCAAUCCAUUCUUUUUUCAUUUAUUAAAAGUCAAAGAGAUAAACAACAAUUAAAGGGAAUGAAUCAAACUCAAAUAUCAAGUCUGAAACACCACAUACAUGUAACAAAAAAUAAAUUAAUGAAUCACACUCCAAUCUUAUGUCACUCUGCCACUGGUUUUUCUAAAAUUUUGGCAGAAUAAUAUAGUACCAUGAACAUGGUAGAAAAUGCUAAACUAGAGAUGGAAAACCUCAAUUUUCCACUGCUUUUCACUGUACUUACAAGCCUUUAUAUACAUACAAACCCCUCGUAUAUGUACAUGUAACUUCAAGGUAAAGUUUCUAAACCUAUCAAAGAAGUGAAAAAAAAGAAAAGAAAAAGACACCAAGGGGCAGAUUCUUGCUACAAAACCGCCAAUAUAUGAUCAGGUAACUGCAACCCCAAACCCGUUUCUGUUGCCAUUCAAUAAACAAAACCUGGAAGGCUUAGGCUGGAAAUUCCUCCUCCUUUGCAUGUCAUGGCUGGAUGGCUUAAUUAUUUGGAGCAGAAUCGCCUUGAUGGAAUUUGCUUUGGCUAUGACAGCUAAUUCCCAGUGAUUUGGUGAGACGCGAACCACCCUUGUCCGACCGGGUGGCUUGUUGAAAUUCCUGUGCAGGUUGCACCUGAAGGAGCCUGGGUGUGUGGUAGGGGAACAUAGGCAUGUACGGGACGUCGGUGACUUGGAGCUUGAUGAUGAUGCAUUUUUGGAGGCCAUGGGAGUGGUUCAAAACUUCAACCGGAAAGAGGGGAGCUAAGAGGUCGAUUUUUCUUUUCUGUGUGGCAAACUAAUGGAGGGUAGGAGAAUAUGGGGGGUUUUAUAGCUUUGAAAGCCUGUUUAAGUGACCUUUAAAACCUUUUGCUUUCAUAUAUUUCUAACGGCAUGACCUUAUGGUUUUUUGGGUUAUGAACAGAGAUCUUGUUAUGGGUUGGGUAUCUAAAAGAGAAUUUGUUAAGUGAAAUACCAGUUUAUUCGUAUUUAAAUAUUUAGUUUAUUAAUUCAUACAUGAUUUCUUACUUAAAAAGUAAAUUUGAAUUCUCUUUCUCCUAAUUAUAAAAUAAAAUUACCAAUUUAUCCGCUAACACACGUUUUGUUUUUACGUGUAACAGUCAUACAACAAACCAUUAGUUUACUUUUUCAGUGUAUGGAAUCAGCUGGAAAUAACGGGGUCUAUCCAAC